rnacentral:rRNA from 1 species
AUUGAACGCUGGCGGCAUGCCUAACACAUGCAAGUCGAACGGCAGCACGGUCUAGCUUGCUAGAUGGGUGGCGAGUGGCGAACGGGUGAGUAACACGUAGGAAUAUGCCUUGAAGCGGGGGACAACUUGGGGAAACUCAAGCUAAUACCGCAUAAUUUCUUAGGAUAAAAGCUGGGGACCUUAGGGCCUGGCGCUUCAAGAUUAGCCUGCGUACGAUUAGCUAGUUGGUAGGGUAAGAGCCUACCAAGGCGACGAUCGUUAGCUGGUCUGAGAGGAUGGCCAGCCACACUGGAACUGAGACACGGUCCAGACUCCUACGGGAGGCAGCAGUGGGGAAUAUUGGACAAUGGGGGCAACCCUGAUCCAGCAAUGCCGCGUGUGUGAAGAAGGCCUGAGGGUUGUAAAGCACUUUCAGUGGGGAGGAGGAUUGCCAGGUUAAGAGCUAGGUAAUUGGACGUUACCCACAGAAGAAGCACCGGCUAACUCCGUGCCAGCCGCCGCAGUAA